AGCAAAAAGAAGCAUUUUCAUGCUUAUAAUGAAAUCUAUUUUUUGAUUUUAUUUUUGUUAUUACUUCAAAUUGUGUGUUAAUAACAUUUCAAUGUUGAUGUUUACACGCAAAUUAUGCCUUCUAUUAUCAUGGGUUUACAUUCGCUGAUUGUUAUUUGAUUGAUUUGUACACUACAAUUUACUGUGAUUACUUUGCGUGUUUUACCUUUUGUUGUGUCUCUCGUAUUACAAGUGUGUACAAAUGUGUAUAAAAGUCAACAUGUUUUUUUAGCAAUCCAUUUGGGUUUUGGGUUCUCAUUUGGUCAAUAAGUUAACCCAAUCUACACAGUGGCCUAAUUUUCAUUUUAUGUCUUCAAUGUUAUCUUUACAGUGAUUAUAUUCAACAAAAUGAUUAUACAGUCUAUAAUGUUAUAAUCAUUAACCAACAAGGAUCAUCUUUUUAUUAUGAUAUACGGUGACAUCAUUAAUUUGUGUUACUUUUACAUCAUUUAAAAUGUAGAUUUUACAAUUGAUAUUAUCAAAAAACGGCCAGUUUCUCUUUGAUUUACAAUUGUUAUUACAUUAAAUUUGUUCCUGCAAUACAAAUAUGUAUUUCAAUUUGUCUCACCAUUCCUGCUUAUCUUCACAAUAUUAGAUUAUAAUGGUGAUAUAAUGAUCUUCAUCAUGAAUUAUCGUUACAAUUCAGCUGAGCAUUAAUUUGUUGAAGGCAAACUAAAUCAUAUUAUGUUUUAAAAAUAUGUAGAGAAAGAGAAGAGCAAAUUGAUGAGAAAUUAACAUAUAAAUUUCAAUUUAAUAUUGAUAAUAACAAUAACAAUUUAAUGAACAUGGAGAUGUAAAGUGAAAAGGCCUAAACAUUUUAUAAUACAAAAGAGCCAAAAGAGAGUGUAUUAACAAUAAAAACAAAUGAUAGGAAAAGCAAUGUUAAUAUGUAAGAAUUAAUGUUAAAUGAGAAGGAAAUAAUGAUGAUUAAAAUGAUGAUUUUGUCCUGUAUUCAACUUAUCAGGCCCAAUGAUUAAUGAUUUAUAAUUAAUGUACAAAUGAAUGAAAAACGAGUUAUAAUAAUGAACAUUGAAAAAGAUGAUGAAAACAUGGAAACAAAAAAAACCAAGUGAAACAUCAACAGUGAUUCAAACCAAAAGUGUAUGUUAAUGGUUAUGUUAAUCCAUAUCUGUGUGAGUGUUAAUUGUUUAAUCAUAAUCACAGCCAUUUGACUUGUAAACCAUUACAAUUCAAUCAAUCAUAUCGUAUAAUAAGGCUGCAUAUAAUCAAUAAAUUGUCCUGAUUUCCAUACAGUCAGACCAACAAUUGAAGUCAAUCUUUUAUCAAGGCGUUUCACGUUUUCUCAGGGCCAAUUUUAAUAUCUAAUAUAAUUUAAAUUAUCGUAAAUUUACCACCAAAUUUCCAUGAUAAUUUACAAUUUACUCGCUUAUUAUACCGUGAGAUGGUUUUAAUACCAAUUAUGGUUAACAAGACAACAAUAAACAUGCAAACGGUGAGGUCAACAACUCAAAUUGUUAUGGUCAAUCAUAAUAAUAAACAUAUGAUAUUACAUGAAUUUUCAAUUUCUGAUCACCAUAUUGACCGUUAUUCAAGGUAUUACACGGAAUAAUCACUAUUCUGUAUUCUGAUAUUUAAUAUUCAGGUCACAGAAUUGAUCAGAAGAAAAAAAUUGCGAAAAUUGAAAUUAUUUUAAAAUAAGCGCCAAAUAAUUCACGUUUCCCUUGAUUGGGGGUGAAAUCACAUUUUGUUUAUUCAUCCAUUAUUUACCAAUCGAGUUAACAUAAUUUUAACAAUUUUUUUAUUGAUUUAUUGUUGAACAUUAUUCAAUUACUUUAUAAUUUUGUUGCCAUCUUAAUCAAUUAUUAACUCACAUCUUUCAUAUUCCCAUCAAUAAUACAACAGCGAGAAAAAAACUAGCAACCAAGAUUAAGUAUUUUUAUUCGUUUUUUUGUCUGGUCUUAAUGGAUUGGGAUUCAUCUUUUUCCACUGUUUUGUACCUUCUUUUGUAUUAACCAGAAUAAUUUUCAUUUGAUUAUUGUUUAACUUUAAUCAGAUUAAUAUAUCAUCUUUCUCUCUUUAUGUGUGUUAAUUAACUCGUUCAAGCUCUUUCCUUUCUCCAAAUAAUUUAUCUGUGAUGGAAAAUGAUUUCUCAGAGGGAAUCAAAUCUUUGUAUUAACCCAUUUUUCAACCCAUCAGGACCUUCAACAAGUUUUUCUGGUCUUCCAAAUAGGUAUGAACAACGGAACUAUUUAAUAUCUAUUUUUCAAUUGUAUAUUUUAUACAUAACCUUAUGAUUUCAUUUUUUUGUGGUUUAAUGCUUGUGCUUUCCUUAAUCAAUAUCAUUAUCUCCAUCAUCGCUAUUAUCAUUAUAAUUAUUACUUUCAUCUUUACCUUGAUCGAGAUCGAAUUGCUCUUGUUAAUAAAACACAAUCUAUUUCAGAUUAUAUCUGAACAACAUUCAAUCAAUCAUGUAAUCAAGAUUCCUUAACUCAAUUGCUUUCAUUUUUAUCCUUCACCACCAUAAUCAUCAUCAUUAUCACCAUACUUUCAGAAUCUCAUUCUGUACCCUUGUCUUGUUUCAUUGGAUUGAUUAUCAAGUCAAUCGACACUUAACCUGGUUAUAAAGGAUGAAAAUGAGACUAAGUAAUUGGAAGAUGAAUUUCAGUCAAGAUGAAAAUGAUGAUUUUACUUUUUUAUCGUUAUCAUAAUAAUAUCAUGAUGGUGUCUAUUUUUCAUAAAUAUGAUCAUCAAGAUGAAAUGAUGAAAAAAAGGGCGACAACGAUGGAGAUGAGAAGAGACGAAAAUUUCAUUGAUCGAUAAAGUUGAAUGGUUCAUCUGAAUUAAAUCCCAACAUUGGCAUAAAUCUACAUUAAAAUAGAACCAAAUAAACCCAUAAGAAUUAUUAUUCUCAUCAUAAUCACCCUUUUAUUCCUAAUUGUGCGAGUUGAUGAAAAUCUGUCAGGGGAAAAAAGGCAAGAUCAAUGCUCUACAAAGAUUAACCCAAAUUGAACCAGAAUCUUAAUCUUGUCGAAAGCAAAAUUCCUUACUCAGUAUCAACAUUAUUCAAGUGAUCAUCUUACAUCUCAUUGUUUCAACUUUAAUCUUCCCUCAUUCAUCUUCCCAAUAGAUUGCUGAGUUGACCCUUUUUCAGACUCAAAGGCCUUUCACCAAAUUUCAAUUCAACCUCAGACAUUAUCCAAGUUUAUUUCACAAAGCAAACUCAAUUUCAACUCUAGCCAUUGCUUCAACUACUAAUUGUGAUUUUAAUGUUUUAUUUCUGAUUAAAUUGCACGAAUCUUCUGGUGAAUCAUAAAUCGAGUGAAAACACUUUAAAAAGAAGCUUCAACUUACAUAAA